rnacentral:rRNA from 1 species
CAUGGCUCAGGAUGAACGCUAGCUACAGGCUUAACACAUGCAAGUCGAGGGGAAACGGCAUUAAGUGCUUGCACUUUUUGGACGUCGACCGGCGCACGGGUGAGUAACGCGUAUCCAACCUUCCCAUGACUAAGGGAUAACCUGCCGAAAGGCAGACUAAUACCUUAUGGUCUUCACUGACGGCAUCAGAUGUGAAGUAAAGAUUUAUCGGUUAUGGAUGGGGAUGCGUCUGAUUAGCUUGUUGGCGGGGUAACGGCCCACCAAGGCAACGAUCAGUAGGGGUUCUGAGAGGAAGGUCCCCCACAUUGGAACUGAGACACGGUCCAAACUCCUACGG